UACGAAGGGUGCAAGCGUUGCUCGGAAUUAUUGGGCGUAAAGCGCACGUAGGCGGCUUAGUAAGUCGGAUGUGAAAUCCCUCGGCUCAACCAAGGAAGUGCAUCCGAAACUGCUGAGCUUGAGUACUUAAGAGGAUCGCGGAAUUCCCGGUGUAGAGGUGAAAUUCGUAGAUAUCGGGAGGAACACCAGUGGCGAAGGCGGCGAUCUGGGAAGAUACUGACGCUGAGGUGCGAAAGCGUGGGGAGCGAUCCGG
rnacentral:rRNA from 1 species